AUUUGAAUACCAACCUCUCCCUGUCCAUCUCUCUGCUCUCUCAGUUUCUUUUCCUCUCUGUCUGGAGACCAAUACACCAUUUUAAAGAAAACCAUUGUUUUGGCUAACCUGAAGAAUGUGGUGCCCGCUUAUUGUUCGUCGUCCGAGUCACUUCGCGUUGAUUGUUUCUGAGAUUUUGAGAAGAAAUUGCCUGGAGACACGGCCCUAUUCUUUGUCAGGAUUAUCAAGAUCAUAUGUGGUCAGAGCUAUGAGGAAGAAAUUUUCGGAUAAUUCGAAAUCUAACUCUUCAUUUUUCGACAGCAGACUUCUUCAAGCGUUUCCGACAACGCAUCGACGACAUCUGCAAUGGGAACUUCGUUCGUGGUCUGCUACGAUGAAGGAAAUUCGGUCAGCAACAAUGAGGUCGUCCGCAAUCUGCUACGGUGAAUGACUCCAUGGGCGAAUGACUUCUGCGGCUGCUUCGAACUGUUGGUCUGGUGCCACGAACGAACGAAAUCAAUUGGAGCAGAGGUUGGAACAAUUAUAGCUAUUUUGUUAGAUUUUCUCUGGUGCGUAGAAAUUAGUAAUUUAUUUUCUAGGUUUGAUGUGGUUGAAGAAAUUGGUUUUAUUUUGUGGAUGUUAGUGAAAUUAGGGUUAUUUUUAGCAGAUUAGGGAGCUAGAAUUAGUAUAAAUAGGCCUGAA